rnacentral:rRNA from 1 species
UACGGGGGGGGCAAGCGUUGUUCGGAAUUACUGGGCGUAAAGGGCUUGUAGGUGGCCAACUAAGUCAGACGUGAAAUCCCUCGGCUUAACCGGGGAACUGCGUCUGAUACUGGAUGGCUGGAGUGUGGGAGAGGGAUGCGGAAUUCUCGGUGUAGCGGUGAAAUGCGUAGAUAUCGAGAGGAACACCUGCGGCGAAGGCGGGUUGCUGGGCCGACACUGACGCUGAUGCGCGAAAGCCAGGGGAGCGAACGGG